CUUAGAUUUCUGAUGGACAAGCUUCAAAUUUGCUAAAACGUGUCGAUAUUGAACACGAAAAAUUGCAUGGUAUGAAAAUUCAUGAUUGUCAUGUCUUCAUGGAAACAUUAUUCCCCAUUGCAUUUAGUGGCUUGCCCGAUAGAAUUUGGAAACCUAUGACUAAAAUUAGUUUGUUCUUCAAGGACUUGUGUUCUAAUACGUUAAGGGAAGACAACCUAGUUCAGAUGGAUCAAAAUAUUCCUAUAAUAACAAAUAAGUUGGAGAAGAUUCUUCUACCUAGAUUUUUUGAUGUGAUGUAACAUCUUCCUGUACAUCUGGUGCAUGAAGCACGCCUCGAAGGUCCGGUUCAAUAUAGAUGGAUGUAUCCAUUUGAGAGGUAAGUGUUUUAACUCUUAUCUUUUAUAUCAUCAAUAUUUUGUUAAAAUUAAUGAUAAUAUAAUAUAAUGUAGGAUUAUUGGCAGGUCUAAACGGGACAUGAAGCAAAAACAUAGACUUCAAGGUUCAAUGGUUGAAUUCCAUAUUGCUAGGGAGAUAACUAAUUUAGGUUCUUAUUACUUCAAAAGUAGUGUGUCAUGCUUGAAAAAUAGACCCAAUCACCAUGAUGAUGGUGGUGAGACUAUGAAACCACUAUCAAUCUUCAAUCGACCAGGCAAAGGUUCAAAAAAACCUACUAUGAGGAAUAUUAAUGCCAUGGAGUUUAAAUCUGCAUCAACACAUGUCUUGUUGAACUGCCCACAAGUUAAACAAUUUCUUGACUACUUUGUGCAUUUAUAUGGAAAUAAAAAAGUGUUUGAGCAUUUUACAAAGUGUUUUCAAGAUUACAUUCAUAGAUUACUGACACAAAAAAUGGUCAAUUUGAUCAAUUUUUGAAGGACCUUUCUUGGGGACCCAUCAAGGUUUUUUCAAUGGACAAGUAUCUUGUAAAUGGUUUUAAAUUCAAUACUGAAGAAUGCUCCAAAUAUUAAAAAAAAUAAUAAUAGUGAAGUUUGGGUGAAAGGUGGUGAUGGAACUCAAGAUGAAGUUUAUUAUUAUGGGGUGCUCAAGGAGGUUUUGGAAAUGGAAUAGUCAGGGUGGCCUAUAAAAAUGAUUGUAUCAUAUAGAUGCAAGUGGUUUGAUCCAACCCCCCCCAAAAGGUACAAGAGAAAUCAAACAUUAUAAUAUCAUUGAAGUAAAGCAUACAAAGGAGUAUGGAGCAUAUGAUCCUUUCAUUAUUGUGCAAAAUGUUAAGCAAGUGUAUUAUGCUCUUUAUCCUUUGUGUCCGGAUAAAGCUGAUUGGUGGGUGGUGAUUAAAACCAAACCCAUGCGUCGUGUGGAUAGUUAAAAACGUGUUGGAUGUUGCAAAUCAGGAUGAUGAUUUAUCAAGUGUUCACCACACCGUGGAUGUUGAAUUAAAAAAUCAUUUAAAGCAUCCUAAACACAUAUUAGAAGAGAUUGAUAUAGAAGAAAUAACAGAUGAAGGGGCAAAUGCAUCAAUUAAUGAGGAAGAUUCGAUCGAUGAAUAAGAAUGGUCGGAAAAAUAUGAUGAGGAUGAGGAUGUGGACAAUGACGAGGACAAGGAUGAGGAGAAAUAGUAAUUAGUGCUCGCGCGUGUGUGUUACUGUUAUCUUCUUCUAAAUUCUUUUAUAUUGCAUUAUUAAAUUGUUUCUCCAUUCUCUGUAGAAGUGGAUCCCCAAAUUUUAAAUUGUUUCUCAAUUCUCUGUUAA